GUAAUUACUUCAAUACACAUACUAAAAUUGUAAUGAUACUACAAAGACUAGCACGGCCUCUGCACAACUAUGACACAUACAUACACGAAGCAUUCCAUAUUAAA